GGAAGUAAAAGUCGUAACAAGGUUUCCGUAGGUGAACCUGCGGAAGGAUCAUUAAUGAACUCUCGAGGGACGCUGCUGCUGCUGGGCUUCUCCGCAAGUCAUCGUGCACGCGGUCGUUCUUCUCGUUCAAACCAUCUACCCCUAUCUGUGCACUCCUCGUGAGCCGAGAACUCUCUCGGCUCAUGUCCAUUCCACACGACACUCCAACUAGAUUAGUGAACAAGCAGUCGUCCGAGCUUCGUCUCGACGCUAACGUUAACGCACAACUUUCAACAACGGAUCUCUUGGCUCUCGCAUCGAUGAAGAACGCAGCGAAAUGCGAUAAGUAAUGUGAAUUGCAGAAUUCAGUGAAUCAUCGAAUCUUUGAACGCACCUUGCGCCCCUUGGUACUCCGGGGGGCAUGCCUGUUUGAGUGUCAGUAGACCAUCAACCUGAAGGGCUUUCGUGGCCCGUCGGAGUUUGGAACUUGCGGCGUGCGGGAGGCCUUCGCGGGCCUCCGCUCCUCGCGGAAUACAUCAGCGGAAGUCCACCGGCGGGACCAGCCUUGGCGUGAUAAGCAAUCUACGUCUUGACUCUGGCCCGCGUCUUCUGGCUCUGCUUCGAACUGUGUCGUCCCCAUGGGGCGCGACAGACCCAUUGACAAGUUUGACCUCAAAUCAGGUAGGAUUACCCGCUGAACUUAAGCAUAUCAAUAAGCGGAGGA
rnacentral:rRNA from 1 species